rnacentral:rRNA from 1 species
GACGAACGCUGGCGGCGUGCUUAACACAUGCAAGUCGAACGGAAAGGCCCUGCUUUUGUGGGGUGCUCGAGUGGCGAACGGGUGAGUAACACGUGAGUAACCUGCCCUUGACUUUGGGAUAACUUCAGGAAACUGGGGCUAAUACCGGAUAGGAGCUCCUGCUGCAUGGUGGGGGUUGGAAAGUUUCGGCGGUUGGGGAUGGACUCGCGGCUUAUCAGCUUGUUGGUGGGGUAGUGGCUUACCAAGGCUUUGACGGGUAGCCGGCCUGAGAGGGUGACCGGCCACAUUGGGACUGAGAUGCGGCCCAGACUCCUACGGGAGGCAGCGGUGCGGAAUAUUGCACAAUGGGCGGAAGCCUGAUGCAGCAACGCCGCGUGCGGGAUGACGGCCUUCGGGUUGUAAACCGCUUUCGCCUGUGACGAAGCGUGAGUGACGGUAAUGGGUAAAGAAGCACCGGCUAACUACGUG